rnacentral:rRNA from 1 species
UACGUAGGGCGCAAGCGUUGUCCGGAAUUAUUGGGCGUAAAGAGCUCGUAGGCGGCCUGUUGCGUCCGCUGUGAAAUCCCGGGGCUUAACCCCGGGCCUGCAGUGGAUACGGGCAGGCUGGAGGCAGGCAGGGAGAACGGAAUUCCCGGUGUAGCGGUGAAAUGCGCAGAUAUCGGGAGGAACACCAGUGGCGAAGGCGACUACCUGGCCUGUUCUUUGACGCUGAGGCGCGAAAGCUAGGGGAGCAAACGGG